rnacentral:rRNA from 1 species
CCUACGGGAGGCAGCAGUGAGGAAUAUUGGUCAAUGGACGAGAGUCUGAACCAGCCAAGUCGCGUGAAGGAUGACUGCCCUAUGGGUUGUAAACUUCUUUUAUCUGGGAAUAAUAUGUUCCACGUGUGGGAUUUUGUAUGUACCAUAUGAAUAAGGCUCGGCUAACUCCGUGCCAGCAGCCGCGGUAAUACGGAGGAUGGGAGCGUUAUCCGGAUUUAUUGGGUUUAAAGGGUGCGUAGGCGGAAGUUUAAGUCAGGGGUAAAAUUGAGGGGCUCAACCCCGUCCCGCCCUUGAAACGGGUGUUCUUGAGUGGAAGAGAAGUAUGCGGAAUGCGUGGUGUAGCGGUGAAAUGCAUAGAUAUCACGCAGAACCCCGAUUGCGAAGGCAGCAUACCGGCGCCCAACGGACGCUGAUGCACGAAAGCGUGGGGAUCGAACAGGAUUAGAUACCCGGGUAGUC